GCAGUAGCCGCGGUAAUACAGAGGGUGCGAGCGUUAAUCGGAUUUACUGGGCGUAAAGCGUGCGUAGGCGGCUUCUUAAGUCGGAUGUGAAAUCCCUGAGCUUAACUUAGGAAUUGCAUUCGAUACUGGGAAGCUAGAGUAUGGGAGAGGAUGGUAGAAUUCCAGGUGUAGCGGUGAAAUGCGUAGAGAUCUGGAGGAAUACCGAUGGCGAAGGCAGCCAUCUGGCCUAAUACUGACGCUGAGGUACGAAAGCAUGGGGAGCAAACAGGAUUAGACCCCCGUAGUCCCUGUCUCUUAUACAC
rnacentral:rRNA from 1 species